GUCAAGCAGCUUAUAAUGGGGUUUCAGCUUCUAAUCGUCUCUUGAGACAACUUCUGACAAUUGA
rnacentral:rRNA from 1 species